rnacentral:tRNA from 1 species
CGGGGUGUAGCGCAGCCUGGAAGCGCAAUUGCUUUGGGAGCAAUGGGUCGCAGGUUCGAAUCCUGUCACCCCGA